GGUCAAGCGAAUAAGCGCACACGGUGGAUGCCUAGGCGGUCAGAGGCGAUGAAGGACGUGGUAGCCUGCGAAAAGUGUCGGGGAGCUGGCAACAAGCUUUGAUCCGGCAAUAUCCGAAUGGGGAAACCCACUGCUUCGGCAGUAUCUUGCAGUGAAUUCAUAGCUGCUUGAAGCGAACCCGGUGAACUGAAAUAUCUAAGUAACCGGAGGAAAAGAAAUCAACCGAGAUUCCCUGAGUAGUGACGAGCGAACGGGGAACAGCCCUUAAGCUGGAAUGGCUUUAGAAAAACAAUCUGGAAAGAUUGGCCAUAGAAGGUGAUAGCCCUGUAUUUAAAAGGGCCACUCCAGUGAAGACGAGUAGGGCGGGGCACGUGAAACCCUGUCUGAAUAUGGGGGGACCAUCCUCCAAGGCUAAAUACUCCUGACCGACCGAUAGUGAACCAGUACCGUGAGGGAAAGGCGAAAAGAACCCCGGAGAGGGGAGUGAAAUAGAUCCUGAAACCGUGUGCGUACAAGCAGUAGGAGCUCGCAAGAGUGACUGCGUACCUUUUGUAUAAUGGGUCAGCGACUUACUGUUCGUGGCAAGCUUAACCGUAUAGGGGAGGCGAAGGGAAACCGAGUCUGAUAAGGGCGCAUAGUCGCGGGCAGUAGACCCGAAACCGGGUGAUCUAGUCAUGGCCAGGGUGAAGGUGCCGUAACAGGUACUGGAGGCCCGAACCCACGUCUGUUGCAAAAGACGGGGAUGAGCUGUGAUUAGGAGUGAAAAGCUAAUCGAACCCGGAGAUAGCUGGUUCUCCUCGAAAGCUAUUUAGGUAGCGCCUCGGACGAAUACUACUGGGGGUAGAGCACUGUUAUGGCUAGGGGGUCAUCGCGACUUACCAAACCAUUGCAAACUCCGAAUACCAGUACGUACUAUCCGGGAGACACACGGCGGGUGCUAACGUCCGUCGUGAAAAGGGAAACAACCCAGACCCACAGCUAAGGUCCCAAAUUCACUGCUAAGUGGAAAACGAUGUGGAAAGGCAUAGACAGCCAGGAGGUUGGCUUAGAAGCAGCCACCCUUUAAAGAAAGCGUAAUAGCUCACUGGUCGAGUCGGUCUGCGCGGAAGAUUUAACGGGGCUAAGCAGUGAACCGAAGCUUGGGGUGCGUAAAACUUCGGUUUUAUGCGCGGUAGAGGAGCGUUCCGUAAGCCUGCGAAGGUGGAUUGAGAAGUCUGCUGGAGGUAUCGGAAGUGCGAAUGCUGACAUGAGUAACGAUAAUGCGGGUGAAAAGCCCGCACGCCGAAAGCCCAAGGUUUCCUUGCGCAACGUUAAUCGACGCAGGGUUAGUCGGUCCCUAAGGCGAGGGCGAAAGCCGUAGUCGAUGGGAAGCAGGUUAAUAUUCCUGCACCUCGCGUGAGUGCGAUGGAGGGACGGAGAAGGUUAGGUGUACCGGGCGUUGGUUGUCCCGGGGAAAGGCGGUAGGUUUGGAUCUUUGGCAAAUCCGGGAUCCUUUAAGACCGAGCACCGAGACGAGCCUUUAUGGCGAAGUCACUGAUACCACGCUUCCAGGAAAAGCUCCUAAGCUUCAGCUCACGAAGACCGUACCGUAAACCGACACAGGUGGGUAGGAUGAGAAUUCUCAGGCGCUUGAGAGAACUCGGGUGAAGGAACUAGGCAACAUGGCACCGUAACUUCGGGAGAAGGUGCACCCUUUUUGGUGGCUCAUGCGAGCUAUAGCUGAAGAGGGUCGCAGAAACCAGGCCGCUGCGACUGUUUAUCAAAAACACAGCACUCUGCAAACACGAAAGUGGACGUAUAGGGUGUGACGCCUGCCCGGUGCUGGAAGGUUAAUUGAUGGGGUCAGCCGCAAGGCGAAGCUCUUGAUCGAAGCCCCAGUAAACGGCGGCCGUAACUAUAACGGUCCUAAGGUAGCGAAAUUCCUUGUCGGGUAAGUUCCGACCUGCACGAAUGGCGUAACGACAGCGGCGCUGUCUCCACCCGAGACUCAGUGAAAUUGAAAUCGCUGUGAAGAUGCAGCGUUCCCGUGGCAAGACGGAAAGACCCCGUGAACCUUUACUAUAGCUUUACACUGAACGUUGAGUUCGUCUGUGUAGGAUAGGUGGGAGGCUAUGAAACUGUGGCGCUAGCUGCAGUGGAGCCAACCUUGAAAUACCACCCUGUCGUGCUUGACGUUCUAACCUAGAUCCGUUAUCCGGAUCAGGGACCGUGUAUGGUGGGUAGUUUGACUGGGGCGGUCUCCUCCUAAAGAGUAACGGAGGAGCACGAAGGUACGCUCAGCGCGGUCGGACAUCGCGCACUGUGUGCAAAGGCAUAAGCGUGCUUGACUGCAAGAUCGACGGAUCAAGCAGGUACGAAAGUAGGUCUUAGUGAUCCGGUGGUUCUGUAUGGAAGGGCCAUCGCUCAACGGAUAAAAGGUACUCCGGGGAUAACAGGCUGAUACCGCCCAAGAGUUCAUAUCGACGGCGGUGUUUGGCACCUCGAUGUCGGCUCAUCACAUCCUGGGGCUGUAGUCGGUCCCAAGGGUAUGGCUGUUCGCCAUUUAAAGUGGUACGCGAGCUGGGUUCAGAACGUCGUGAGACAGUUCGGUCCCUAUCUGCCAUGGGCGUUGGAAGUUUGAGAGGGGCUGCUCCUAGUACGAGAGGACCGGAGUGGACGAACCUCUGGUGUUCCGGUUGUCACGCCAGUGGCAUUGCCGGGUAGCUAUGUUCGGAAGCGAUAACCGCUGAAAGCAUCUAAGCGGGAAGCGCGCCUCAAGAUGAGACUUCCCGGGGCACAAGCCCCUAAAGGAACCAUAUAGACUAUGUGGUUGAUAGGUCAGGUGUGUAAGUACAGCAAUGUAUUGAGCUAACUGAUACUAAUGAUCCGUGCGGCUUGACCAU
rnacentral:rRNA from 1 species